rnacentral:rRNA from 1 species
UCGGGAAUUUUGCACAAUGGCCGAAAGGCUGAUGCAGCAACGCCGCGUGAGCGAAUAAGGCCUUCGGGUUGUAAAGCUCUGUUGCCUGCGAAGAAGGGCCCUGUCAGGAAAUGGGCGGGGUUUGACGGUAGCAGGCGAGGAAGCCCCGGCAAACUACGUGCCAGCAGCCGCGGUAAUACGUAGGGGGCGAGCGUUGUCCGGAAUUACUGGGCGUAGAGGGCGUGUAGGCGGCCUGUUAAGUCAGGGGUGAAAGACCGGGGCUCAACCGCGGGGGUGCCUCGGAGACGGGCGGGAUUGAGUGGUAUGGAGGGGAGUGGAAUUCCCGGGGUAGCAGUGGAAUGCGGAGAGAUCGGGAGGAACACCAGUGGCGAAGGCGGCUGCCUGGGGAGUCACUGACGCUGAGGCGCGAAAGCUAGGGGAGCAAACAGG